rnacentral:rRNA from 1 species
GACGAACGCUGGCGGCGUGCUUAACACAUGCAAGUCGAACGAAGUGGCGCACGGGUGAGUAACGCGUAAUCAACCUGCCCUUCAGAGGGGGACAACAGUUGGAAACGACUGCUAAUACCUCAUACUGAAGCAGGGGAUUGCGUCUGAUUAGCUAGUUGGGGGGGUAACGGCCCACCAAGGCGAUGAUCAGUAGCCGGUCUUGGAGGAUGAACGGCCACAUUGGGAACGGGACACGGGCCAGACUCCUACGGGAGGGAGCAGUGGGGAAGCUUCCGCAAAGGACGAAAGUCUGACGGAGCAACGCCGCGGGAGUGAUGACGGGCUUCGGGUUGUAAAGCUCUGUUAAGCGGGACGCGGUACCGGAAUAGAAAGCCACGGCUAACUACGUGCCAGCCGCCGCGGUAAUAC